AUUGAACGCUGGCGGCAUGCUUUACACAUGCAAGUCGAACGGUAACAGGCCUUCGGGCGCUGACGAGUGGCGAACGGGUGAGUAAUGCAUCGGAACGUGCCCAGUCGUGGGGGAUAACGCAGCGAAAGCUGUGCUAAUACCGCAUACGAUCUGUGGAUGAAAGCGGGGGACCUUCGGGCCUCGCGCGAUUGGAGCGGCCGAUGUUAGAUUAGGUAGUUGGUGGGGUAAAGGCCCACCAAGCCGACGAUCUGUAGCUGGUCUGAGAGGACGACCAGCCACACUGGGACUGAGACACGGCCCAGACUCCUACGGGAGGCAGCAGUGGGGAAUUUUGGACAAUGGGCGCAAGCCUGAUCCAGCAAUGCCGCGUGCAGGAAGAAGGCCUUCGGGUUGUAAACUGCUUUUGUACGGAGCGAAAAGGCUCCCUCUAAUACAGGGGGCUCAUGACGGUACCGUAAGAAUAAGCACCGGCUAACUACGUGCCAGCCGCCGCCGUAAUAC
rnacentral:rRNA from 1 species